UACGGAGGGUGCAAGCGUUAGUCGGAAUUACUGGGCGUAAAGGGUGCGUAGGCUGGGAUAUAAGUCAGAUGUGAAAAACCAAAGCUCAACUUUGGCAGUGCAUCUGAAACUGUAUUUCUAGAGGAAUAGCGGAGAAAACGGAAUUCCACGUGUAGCGGUGAAAUGCGUAGAUAUGUGGAAGAACACCUGUGGCGAAAGCGGUUUUCUAGCUUUCUCCUGACGCUGAGGCACGAAAGCAAGGGGAUCAAACAGG
rnacentral:rRNA from 2 species